CAACGCCGCGUGAGUGAAGACGGCCUUCGGGUUGUAAAGCUCUUUCAGUAGGGACGAAAACAGACGGUACCUACAGAAGAAGCCCCGGCUAACUACGUGCCAGCAGCCGCGGUAAUACGUAGGGGGCGAGCGUUGUCCGGAAUCAUUGGGCGUAAAGCGCGUGUAGGCGGCUCGGCAAGUCUGGUGUGAAAACUGGAGGCUCAACCUCCAGCUGUCGCUGGAUACUGCCGGGCUUGAGUCCGGAAGAGGAGAGUGGAAUUCCUGGUGUAGCGGUGGAAUGCGCAGAUAUCAGGAGGAACACCAAUGGCGAAGGCAGCUCUCUGGUACGUGACUGACGCCGAGACGCGAAAGCGUGGGGAGCGAGCAGGAUUAGAUACCCUGGUAGUCCACGCCGUAAACGAUGGAUGCUAGGUGUGGGUGGUGUCGACUCCAUCCGUGCCGCAGCUAACGCAUUAAGCAUCCCGCCUGGGGAGUACGGCCGCAAGGCUA
rnacentral:rRNA from 1 species